AAAUAACGCUGUAUAUGCUGGAGAAUAUCAAGCUGUCUGUUGACCACUGACACAUAAUUACCCAAACAUGGUGGCAAAAGCUGUAGCCGUUCUCCUGCUUGUGUGCUGUCUUGCAUUGGCCUCUGAGGCCCGCAUUUACCCGUAUUGCCCUCAUGGACAAACACAAGUCGGUACCUGCGGUCCACAUACCUGGUGGAAGUGCUCUAUCGGAAGUUGCUAUCCCUUGAAUAGCAACUUUGGUCUCUGCUGUAAAUGGUUCUCCCCUGGUGGUUACUACUAGUAGUCCGAACAGAGUGGUUAUUGUACUACAGAUCAAGAAAUAAAGAUUGAAAUAAACAAAAUGUUUCAGUUUUUCC